AACGGCAGCGCGGGAGCAAUCCUGGCGGCGAGUGGCGAACGGGUGAGUAAUACAUCGGAACGUGCCCAAUCGUGGGGGAUAACGCAGCGAAAGCUGUGCUAAUACCGCAUACGAUCUACGGAUGAAAGCAGGGGAUCGCAAGACCUUGCGCGAAUGGAGCGGCCGAUGGCAGAUUAGGUAGUUGGUGAGGUAAAGGCUCACCAAGCCUUCGAUCUGUAGCUGGUCUGAGAGGACGACCAGCCACACUGGGACUGAGACACGGCCCAGACUCCUACGGGAGGCAGCAGUGGGGAAUUUUGGACAAUGGGCGAAAGCCUGAUCCAGCCAUGCCGCGUGCAGGAUGAAGGCCUUCGGGUUGUAAACUGCUUUUGUACGGAACGAAACGGCCUUUUCUAAUAAAGAGGGCUAAUGACGGUACCGUAAGAAUAAGCACCGGCUAACUACGUGCCAGCAGCCGCGGUAAUACGUAGGGUGCAAGCGUUAAUCGGAAUUACUGGGCGUAAAGCGUGCGCAGGCGGUUAUGUAAGACAGUUGUGAAAUCCCCGGGCUCAACCUGGGAACUGCAUCUGUGACUGCAUAGCUAGAGUACGGUAGAGGGGGAUGGAAUUCCGCGUGUAGCAGUGAAAUGCGUAGAUAUGCAGAGGAACACCGAUGGCGAAGGCAAUCCCCUGGACCUGUACUGACGCUCAUGCACGA
rnacentral:rRNA from 1 species